rnacentral:rRNA from 1 species
GGAGAAAAAAAAAAGAUUGCACUCUCCUUGACGAGUCUGUGGCCACGCCUCCCGUCCCGCCACCGGGAAACCCAUCUCCACCGCAUCGGUCCGCUUGCUCUUGCUCGGCAUCCGCGGCCUGCCUUGCUCUCGGACAGGGUUUCGCCGCGUACACCUAGCCAUGGCCGCCUCGCUACCACGCCUCUCCCUCCCGCCGACGGCCGCUCUCCCUGCCGUCACCUCCUCUCGCUACCGCCCCGACCUCGCCCCCGUCCCCAACCGCCGCCGCCUCGGCCUCCGUCUCCACCGCUCCCCGGUGGUACCUGCAGCCGCCGCGAGCUCGCCGUCCCUUCUGUCUUCUUCACCGCAACCAGGGUCGGGUAUCGGUGAUGCCCUCGGUGGCGUCGCCAUCUUCUCCGCGGCCACCGGCGAGCCCGUCCUGAUCAGGGAUCUGUGGGACCAAAACGAGGGAAUGGCUGUCGUCGCGUUGCUAAGGCAUUUCGGAUGUCCUUGCUGCUGGGAGUUAGCCUUGACGUUGAAAGACGCGAAAGAAAGAUUUGAUUCUGCUGGCGUCAAACUAAUUGCUGUUGGUGUUGGCACUCCUGAUAAAGCCCGUAUUCUUGCUGAGCGUUUGCCCUUUCCAUUGGAUUACCUCUAUGCUGAUCCUGAGCGCAAGGCUUAUGAUCUCUUGGGCCUAUAUUUUGGUGUUGGGCGCACAUUCUUCAACCCAGCCAGUGUGAAAGUAUUUUCUCGGUUUGAUUCCCUCAAGGAGGCGACAAAGAACUAUACAAUCGAAGCCACCCCAGAUGACAGGCCAAGUGUCCUGCAACAGGGUGGAAUGUUCGUGUUCAAAGGGAAAGAACUGUUAUAUGCAAGGAAGGAUGAGGGCACAGGGGAUCAUGCACCAUUAGAUGAUGUCCUGAACAUCUGCUGUAAAGUUCCAGUAGCCUGAUGUCGAAUCCUACAAAUAGGCGCUUCUCGUAGAGACAUUUCAUAAGCUUGGCAUCAGAUGACUUUCGAGAUACUGGAUCCUGAUAAUGCUGCAUACCUGGCUACCUGGACAUCAUGCAAUUGGGCUGUACUAAUAUCAAGGAGGGCAAAUGCUACACAAGAUCUCCAAUGGUCAAAACCCCAGUCUCUGACCCACCCACCGCGUGGAGACCAAGGAAGCUGCUAUGUUGGAAGCCUUUUUUUGGGGGUCACACUGGAGCCCUCCAGGGAGGUUGAUGGCUUCAAAAGCCUUUUUGGAGUUACAUCUUGACACUUUUUUGUUUGUUUAAAAAUGAGGUUGGAAACCCCGGCCUCUGCAUCAAACGAUGCAUACAAUCAUCUUUAUUAAUUAUUUAAGAAAUGUUGACAAGAAAAUACAUCAAACCAUUCGAAGCC